CACGGGGGGGGCGAGCGUUGUCCGAAGUUACUGGGCGUAAAGCGCGCGUAGGCGGGCUGGUGAGUGAGCGGUGAAAGGCGGAGGCUCAACCUCCUGCAGCGCCGUUCAUACUGCCGGUCUUGAGUGGGGUAGGGAGAAGUGGAAUGGCUGGUGUAGCGGUGAAAUGCGUAGAGAUCAGUCGGAACACCGGUGGUGAAGGCGGCUUCUUGGGCCCUAAUUGACGCUGAGGCGCGAAAGCCAGGGGAGCGAACGGG
rnacentral:rRNA from 1 species